AUGAACGCUAGCGACAGGCCUAACACAUGCAAGUCGAGGGGCAGCACAAGGAGCAAUCUGAGGUGGCGACCGGCGCACGGGUGAGUAACACGUAUGCAACCUGCCUGUAAGCGGGGAAUAACCCGUUGAAAGACGGACUAAUACCGCAUAAUACUAAAUUACUGCAUGGUAAUUUAUUUAAACAUUUAUGGCUUACAGAUGGGCAUGCGCAUGAUUAGCUAGUUGGAGAGGUAACGGCUCCCCAAGGCAACGAUCAUUAGGGGUUCUGAGAGGAAGGUCCCCCACACUGGUACUGAGACACGGACCAGGCUCCUACGGGAGGCAGCAGUGAGGAAUAUUGGUCAAUGGACGAGAGUCUGAACCAGCCAAGUCGCGUGCAGGAAGAAUGUUCCCUAUGGAUUGUAAACUGCUUUUGCAGGGGAAUAAAGUGCAUCACGUGUGAUGUUUUGUAUGUACUCUGCGAAUAAGGAUCGGCUAACUCCGUGCCAGCCGCCGC
rnacentral:rRNA from 1 species